rnacentral:rRNA from 1 species
GAAUCUUCCGCAAUGGACGAAAGUCUGACGGAGCAACGCCGCGUGAGUGAGGAAGGUUUUCGGAUCGUAAAGCUCUGUUGCCAGGGAAGAACGGCUAAGAGAGGAACUGCUCUUAGUGUGACGGUACCUGAGAAGAAAGCCCCGGCUAACUACGUGCCAGCAGCCGCGGUAAUACGUAGGGGGCAAGCGUUGUCCGGAAUUAUUGGGCGUAAAGCGCGCGCAGGCGGUCGUUUAAGUCUGGUGUAUAAGCUCAGGGCUCAACCUUGGGAGGCACCGGAAACUGGGCGACUGGAGUACAGGAGAGGAAAGUGGAAUUCCACGUGUAGCGGUGAAAUGCGUAGAGAUGUGGAGGAACACCAGUGGCGAAGGCGACUUUCUGGCCUGAAACUGACGCUGAGGCGCGAAAGCGUGGGGAGCAAAC